rnacentral:rRNA from 1 species
AAACCAACAGGGAUUGCCCUAGUAACGGCGAGUGAAGCGGCAACAGCUCAAAUUUGAAAUCUGGCCCUUGGGUCCGAAUUGUAAUUUGUAGAGGAUGCUUUUGGUUAGGUACCUUCCGAGUUCCCUGGAACGGGACGCCUUAGAGGGUGAGAGCCCCGUACGGUUGGAUACCGAGCCUCUGUAAAGCUCCUUCGACGAGUCGAGUAGUUUGGGAAUGCUGCUCUAAAUGGGAGGUAAAUUUCUUCUAAAGCUAAAUACUGGCCAGAGACCGAUAGCGCACAAGUAGAGUGAUCGAAAGAUGAAAAGUACUUUGAAAAGAGGGUUAAACAGCACGUGAAAUUGUUGAAAGGGAAGCGUUUAUGACCAGACUUUUUCCAGGCGGAUCAUCCGGUGUUCUCACCGGUGCACUUCGCCUGGUUCAGGCCAGCAUCGGUUUCUGUAGGGGGAUAAAAUCAGCAGGAAUGUAGCUCCUCCGGGAGUGUUAUAGCCUGUUGAAUAAUACCUCUGCGGGGACCGAGGUUCGCGCUCUGCAAGGAUGCUGGCGUAAUGGUCAUCAACGAC